AACGAACGCUGGCGGCAUGCCUAACACAUGCAAGUCGAACGAGACCCUCGGGCCUAGUGGCGCACGGGUGCGUAACGCGUGGGAACCUGCGCUAAGGUUCGGCAUAACUCGCCGAACGGGGUGCUAAUACCGGUUAAUGUCGUCGGACCAAAGUUCUAUCGCCUUUGGAUGGGCCCGCGUUGGAUUGCUGAGUUGGUAGGGUAAAAGCCUACCAAGGCGGCGAUCCAUAGCUGGUCUGAGAGGAUGAUCCGCCACGCUGGGACUGAGACACGGCCCAGACUCCUACGGGAGGGAGCAGUGGAGAAUAUUGGACGAUGGGCGAAAGCCUGAUCCAGCAAUGCCGCGUGAGUGAUGAAGGCCUUAGGGUUGUAAAGCUCUUUUACCCGGGAUGAUAAUGACAGUACCGGGAGAAUAAGCUCCGGCUAACUACGUG
rnacentral:rRNA from 1 species